GGUCCCAUGGUGUAAUGGUGAGCACUCUGCACUCUGAAUCCACUGGUCUGAGUUCAAAUCUCAGUGGGACCU